AGUGAACGCUGGCGGUAGGCCUAACACAUGCAAGUCGAACGGCAGCACAGUAAGAGCUUGCUCUUACGGGUGGCGAGUGGCGGACGGGUGAGGAAUACAUCGGAAUCUACUUUUUCGUGGGGGAUAACGUAGGGAAACUUACGCUAAUACCGCAUACGACCUACGGGUGAAAGCAGGGGAUCUUCGGACCUUGCGCGAUUGAAUGAGCCGAUGUCGGAUUCGCUAGUUGGCGGGGUAAAGGCCCACCAAGGCGACGAUCCGUAGCUGGUCUGAGAGGAUGAUCCGCCACACUGGAACUGAGACACGGUCCCGACUCCUACGGUAGGCAGCAGUGGGGAAUAUUGGACAAUGGGCGAAAGCCUGAUCCAGCCAUACCGCGUGGGCGAAGAAGGCCUUCGGGUUGUAAAGCCCUUUUGUUGGGAAAGAAAAGCAGCAGGUUAAUACCCCGCUGUUCUGACGGUACCCAAAGAAUAAGCACCGGCUAACUUCGUG
rnacentral:rRNA from 1 species